UUUUUAUGCAAUUCAUUACAACGACUUUGUUGAGUUUAUUAGCACUUUAAUUAUACUCUCAGUUAAUUACCAAUUACUUCGCCAAAAUGACUUUCAAAUCGUUGGCUCUUAUCUUAUUAGUCGCACUGUUGUCAAUUGUUGGAAUUGCUCAAGUUGCAGCGUGUCCAUGUGAAACAACAACCACGCAAGCUCCCAGUGAAUGUUCGACAACUCCUUCUUGCCCAUCAUAAGUAGAAGGAAAGUAGUGACGGAAAUAAUAAUGACGAUGAUCCCGUGAAUAAAAAUCAAGGAUCUGGCUCAGAUGUUUCGGCAAUUUUAUUAACUUUCAUUAUUUCCGCUUGGUCACCGCAUCCGUCGAUCUCUUCCUUUUCAAAACAACUCCAUGCAUAAUUUUACAUAAUUAAAAAUAGGAUUUUACUCGAUUUCUUUUUUUUGUAAAAUGAAUCUAACAUCAGCAUGUUCAAUAAAAAUUGCCAAUCUAAUAAA